UGGGGAAUUUUGGACAAUGGGGGAAACCCUGAUCCAGCCAUCCCGCGUGUGCGAUGAAGGCCUUCGGGUUGUAAAGCACUUUUGGCAGGAAAGAAACGUCAUGGGUUAAUACCCCGUGAAACUGACGGUACCUGCAGAAUAAGCACCGGCUAACUACGUGCCAGCAGCCGCGGUAAUACGUAGGGUGCAAGCGUUAAUCGGAAUUACUGGGCGUAAAGCGUGCGCAGGCGGUUCGGGAAGAAAGAUGUGAAAUCCCAGAGCUCAACUUUGGAACUGCAUUUUUAACUACCGGGCUAGAGUGUGUCAGAGGGAGGUAGAAUUCCGCGUGUAGCAGUGAAAUGCGUAGAUAUGCGGAGGAACACCGAUGGCGAAGGCAGCCUCCUGGGAUAACACUGACGCUAAUGCACGAAAGCGUGGGGAGCAAACAGG
rnacentral:rRNA from 1 species